GGGAUUACAGUCAAGAGCCACUGCACCCAGCCCCCUCACUGUUGCAUGAAUGGAUGAAUGAGUUGAUUAUGAACCGUUUUGCUUAGGGGGACAUUUCUGGCUUUUCCUCCCAUGUGAAGUCAGAUGGACCAGAGGUGGAAAUGAUCCCACUGAGAAACCUCUUUGCUUCUAAAGGGACCUCUCAAGGGUCUCCUCCUGCUUGUCUUCGGCAACAGGCAAGGCCAAAGACCCUUCCUCCCAUCUGCAGCCACCAGUUCCUGCUUUGUGACUUGUGCAGUAGGAGUUUUGCAGCAUUGAAAAGCAUCAUGCAGGAGCCAGGCUUCCAGAAGAUCCCUGCGGCUGAGUUCUCGGUAAUUCCCAGUAACACUCUAAUUUUAGUUAUGA
rnacentral:lncRNA from 1 species